rnacentral:lncRNA from 1 species
UUUUUAUAUCUCUCUCUCUCUUCAAUCACCACACACACACUUUAUAUAAUCUCCCUCUCUCUAUCUUUUUUUUUAAAAUUAUUCCUUCUCUCCCUCUACCUUUAUUAAAAGCAUAACACUCACUCUCUUUAUUCAAUCACCACAUGCACACACACAUUUUAAGUAUAUAUCUCUCUCUCUCACCGAUCCAUCCAAACACACACACACUUUCAAUAAUCUCUCUCUCUCUUUUCUCCCAAAACACACACACAGCACGCUGGCACCGGCGACACCGCCGUCGCCUCUCCAGCCUCGUCUCUUCCUCCUCCGCCUGACACCCCCACACAACGCAGAACUCUCCCUCUCUCUCAAAGCUCACGACACGCGCAAUGCAGCAGCGCGACAUCGCCCUCAACUCCGGCGACAUCGCCGUCGAGCCGCCCUCUCUCCCCUCAACCUUCCUCUCUCUCUCACAAAGCUCCGCCGCUGCGGAAGCUCGCCGGGAAGCAGCGGCGAUAAGCCGCCGUCACCCACUGCUCUCCCCUCUCUCCGUCCGUGGCCGAGCGCCAACAGCAGGGCCGCCGCCCUCUGGCCUCCCUCCGUCUGACUCCCGCCGACGACAACAUCAGCUGACAAAGCUAACCGUCGCCGCUGACCUCCCUCGUAAUCUCUCUCUCUCCUCGGUCAGUGGUAGACCACCACCGCCGGACGGACAGCAGCGAUGAGCCGCCGCCGCCUUCCUCGAUUCUCUCUCACUCUCCUCAGUCAGCCUCCAUCCCCGACUCGACUCAUACCAGAAACAGCAAUUACUUCCACAAAAGCCAACAUGACUCAAGACUCAAGACUCCAUUUUUUUAUCAGCAUGCUUCAAAUCAUCCUUCUACUCUUAUUUUCUUUUAACAACAGUCAUGCUUUGUAUAUAUGUAUGACAGUGUAUGCAUAUGUAUUUUUGGCAGAAAUGAGAAAUCAUGAAUGAAAA